GGAGGGGUGCCAGAGCGGUCGAUUGGGCACGCCUGGAAAGCGUGUGUACGUUUAUAGCGUACCGAGAGUUCGAAUCUCUCCCCCUCCGCAA
rnacentral:tRNA from 1 species